CCCAGCCCUCCUCAGCCCAGCAGAGCCUCACCACUCAGCUCCCCCAAAGAAAGGCCUUAAGGACCUCCCAGCCAGCCCAGGAGUCCCCUUCCAUGACUGCAGUAUGCUGAGGAGCUACACAAAGGGGAAGACACUGGGAAUCCAAAGGACCCAGGGCCUGAAGGUUUCAAACAAGUCAUGUUGGCUUUGAAAGCGCAGGAGACGCUUGGGAGACUGGCAGACCCUCCCCCCAUCCUCCGGCCAGCUCUUCACCCCCUGGUUGCUGUAUUAUGCAGGAAGAGGAUGAAGAGAGAUGACGAGCUUUGAGGAAGAACAUACAGUGGCGACUUCUUAGAAGGAAGAUGAGCUGUAAGACUCAGGAAGUUCCCAAAACUUACAAGACUCAGGAGGCACCUCCCUGUGGCCAUAGCCCCGACAUGCCUUGGUGAGGUUUGAGCUGUGGAGACUGAAAACCGAUACACAAGAGGACAGAUUGCUAAGAGGUGAGAGGAAAACUGGAGACAUGGCACCAAAGAAAGUGGGAGCCUAAAAGCAUCCAAUGAUCAAACGCAACGUCUGCUCUUCGCUGGAGCGUGGGCAAAGCACCCAUUAAGCUGCUCUUCACCACAGCUCAUGGCCGCAACCCUGGAAGUAACUAAAUGUGCACAGGAGGAAUCGAUAAACCUUCACCAUCUGUCUGCCAAAAGAUGGCCUAAGAGUUGUGGCAGAGCACGUUUCUAAGACAGUAUCUUGAGAGAUCUUUGAGUCCAUCAUCUAUAGCGCCGAGAGAUUAGCACUGUAUCAGCUCAUGAACAUGGGACUGUUUCCAUGUUCUGGCCAUUGCACAGAGCACCAUUACGGGAGUUCAUGUACAUGUCCUGAUACCAAUGGAUGUUUUCAUUUCUCCUGGAGCCUGGAAUUGUUAGGUCUUAAGGGUCCACAGCAGUCUCCAGCUGCAAUCUUCCGCUCACCCCACCCACAGCUGCGCCUUGGGGUUCCCUCCAGAACUGUCACCCUCGAGUUAAU